UUUAUCACAUUCUGGGAUUGAUCCCCUUAUGCCUUUUGAUACCCUUGACUUUAUGAGUAUCAAACUUAAGCGGUUGGAUCGCUCCCACUUUUCCUGCGCGAAUUCCUGUUGUGGACUCAUUGGCCCCACUACCUUAAGCGGUUGUUCAGCGCGCAGAGCCAAAUCUAAAUCCAUAUAGCCCAAAAUGAACAUAAUCUAUUCUUUCCACUCCGAAUAAUUAGAACCAUUAAGUAUAGGAACAGAUUCACCAAUAGGAACAGAAAAUGGAGUCAUAGCUGAAAAAUAAAAUGCAUGUUUUAUCAAUAAAAUACCACAUCAAAAUUACCACACCAAAAUUAGAGAAAUACACUUUAUAUGAUAUCACAACCCCUCCUUUGGGAGCAGAGUUAUGAGCAUAAGUAUUUUUCGUUCUUUAUGCAUAUACUUUAUAUGACAUCACAACCCCUCCUUUGGGAGCAGAGUUAUGAGCAUAAAUAUGCAAUCUCUUUAUCAGAGAUUAAUUUAAACUUUCUGUAGGUCGUGAUAAUUUCAAAUUUCCCAUAUAGAAAAAUUGUUAGCUUUGGCCAGGCAAAUUUCUCCAAACGAGUUAUAAGAAAAUUACCAUCCUACACCACCCAUGUACCUUCAUGUCUAGACCUCCUUUGGGAGCAGACUAAACAUAAUAUCAAGGUGCAAUUUUCGCAUGCACUUCUUUAAAGCAAUUAAUUUAUCUUUUCUUCCGGUCGGGGCCGCUUUGGCCUGCACCCGAACAGUUGAAACAAUAAAUUAAUCUGACUUAGUGCUGCAUGAUUAACAUGAAAAUUAUUUUGGAAGCACUGCUUUAAAGUAAAUUAAAUUAUUAUUUCUUUUAAUUAGGGCCGCUUUGGCUUGCACCUAAUUAAUCGAAAUAAUAAAUUAAUUCAACUUAGCGCCAAAUAUUAAAUAAUCGAAAACAAAUAUGAUUAUAUAAUUUUUCAUGUUUAUCCGGUCAAAAUAAGAAUAUAGAUGCGAUAAUUUAAAACAUAAAAUCGCAACCAAAUUUAAACUUUAUAUAUUCUAAUUUGACCACAAAAAACAAGAUAAAUUUAUGAUAAAUUAAUAU
rnacentral:lncRNA from 1 species